UAGGGAAUCUUCGGCAAUGGGGGCAACCCUGACCGAGCAACGCCGCGUGAGUGAAGAAGGUUUUCGGAUCGUAAAGCUCUGUUGUAAGAGAAGAACGUGUGUGAGAGUGGAAAGUUCACACAGUGACGGUAACUUACCAGAAAGGGACGGCUAACUACGUGCCAGCAGCCGCGGUAAUACGUAGGUCCCGAGCGUUGUCCGGAUUUAUUGGGCGUAAAGCGAGCGCAGGCGGUUUAAUAAGUCUGAAGUUAAAGGCAGUGGCUUAACCAUUGUUCGCUUUGGAAACUGUUAAACUUGAGUGCAGAAGGGGAGAGUGGAAUUCCAUGUGUAGCGGUGAAAUGCGUAGAUAUAUGGAGGAACACCGGUGGCGAAAGCGGCGCUCUGAUCUGUAACUGACGCUGAGGCUCGAAAGCGUGGGGAGCAAACAGG
rnacentral:rRNA from 1 species